CCAACGCACUAUUGCUUCCGCUCUUUCGUGUCGAUGUGCAGCGGGAUCUUGAGGUGCGUGACAUGC
rnacentral:snoRNA from 2 species